UUUUAAAAAUACCCUAUCAUUAUACUAAGUUUCAUUUUUGCAGUAUAAAUCUUAGGGAAAAUUAUUUAUUUUUGUUCCUCAAUGACUUGACUUUUUUUUUUUUUUUUUUGCGGUACGCGGGCCUCUCCCUGUUGUGGCCUUUCCCGUUGCGGAGCACAGGCUCCGGACGCGCAGGUUCAGCGGCCAUGGCUCACGGGCCUAGCCGCUUCGCGGCAUGUGGGAUCUUCCCGGACUAGGGCACGAACCCGUGUCCCCUGCAUCGGCAGGCGGACUCUCAACCACUGCGCCACCAGGGAAGCCCAAUGACUUUACUUUUACUUUAUUCCAGGUUAAGGUCUCUACUGUAACAGUGUUCAUUACAAGGAACAUGUAGGACCAAGCUAAAGACGGAAGCAAGAGAUGGAGAUGUUGGCCAGGACUACAACAGCCAUCUUGUGACCAUGAGAAAAGCCAAGGACAUUUCAAAGACCUCUUCAUAUCCUUGUACCCUCUAAUUAACACCAGCAACUGCCUAUUUUUUGGACUUCUCGUUACAAUAAAAAAAUAAAAUCUGAACUGUUUAAUAAAGCCACUGAUUUGGGGUCGCUGUUUCUCUUAGUCAAGUACAAUUAAUAAAAAAGGGUGACAAAGAACUAUGCACCAAUCCAGACUCUUCAAGAAUAUACAUUACAGUAAACAAUAUAAGAGUACAUAAAUUGCUAAAUUAUGAGAAAUCAUCAGGAAAUGCCACAGGAGUUCAGGGAAUAUGCUUCACAGAACAAAUCAAGAACUCAAAACAGGUGCUAAAAGGUCAUAAAUUUCUGUACUGAUAUAAAUUAGAUGAAAGUUGAGUUAUAGAAAUAUUUUAAAAGCCUAUGUGAUAGUGCUGAUCCACUAAAGCAGCUGUUUGAAUCUUGGUUCCCCCCCUCCCUUUUCUAAAUAUAUCUAAAUAUAGACUCAAU